rnacentral:rRNA from 1 species
CUUGCGCCGGACGAUGGUUCAUUCAAAUUUCUGCCCUAUCAACUUUCGCAUGGUCAGGAUCAGUGGCCUCACCAUGGUAUCAACAGGGUAACGGGGAACUUACGGGUUCUACUUCCGGAGAACGGGAGCCUGAGAAACGGAUACACAUCCAAGGAAGGCAGCAGGCGCGCAAAUUACCCAAUCCCGACACGGGGAGGUAGUGACAAUAAAUACUGAUACAGGGCUCUUUUGGGUCUUGUCAAUUGGAAUGAGUACAAUUUAAAUCCCUUAACGAGGAACAAUUGGAGGGCAAGUCUGGUGCCAGCAGCCGCGGUAAUUCCAGCUCCAAUAGCGUAUAUUAAAGUUGUAUGCAGUUAAAAAGCUCGUAGUUGAACCUUGGGCUGGCUGGCCGGUCCGACUCACCGGUGCACUGGUCCGGCCGGGCCUUUCCUUCUGGGGAGCCGAUGCCCUUUCACUGGGUGUGUCGGGGAACCAGGGACUUUUACUUUGAAAAAAAUUAG